AGCAGCCGCGGUAAUUCCAGCUCCAAUAGCGUAUAUUAAAGUUGUUGCAGUUAAAAAGCUCGUAGUUGAAUUUCGGGAUCAGUUGAUCGGUCGUGCCUCGGUACGUACUGGUCAAAUUGAUUCCUACCUUCUGACGAACCACGAUGUCAUUAAUUUGGUGUCGCGGGAAAUCAGGACUGUUACUUUGAAAAAAUUAGAGUGUUUAAAGCAGGCUCGCGCUUGAAUACAUUAGCAUGGAAUAAUGAAAUAGGACGUUUGAUUCUAUUUUGUUGGUUUCUAGGAUCGACGUAAUGAUUAAUAGGGAUAGUUGGGGGCAUUAGUAUUCAAUUGUCAGAGGUGAAAUUCUUGGAUUUAUUGAAGACUAACUACUGCGAAAGCAUUUGCCAAGGAUGUUUUCAUUAAUCAAGAACGAAAGUUAGGGGAUCGAAGACGAUCAGAUACCGUCGUAGUCUUAACCAUAAACUAUGCCGACUAGGGAUCGGAUGAUGUUAAUUUUUUAAUGACUCACUCGGCGCCUUAA
rnacentral:misc_RNA from 1 species